CUUGGUUCUGGAGAGGAAAUGACAUACAGUUUGUGAAAGCAUAAAUAUUCGUGAAAAUAAGAAAAUUCAGGAAGGAAACAAAGCUUAAGGCAGUGAUUGAUAGGUUAUUUCUUGGACACAGCUGAACGUAUACUGUGCGCCUGCAACUUUCCGGUGGUUUCGGACCGGACUUCAGUGAAGCCAGUGAAGUCGGUCGACUUGCAGAACUUCCUUUCAGAGGGGCGUACACAGCACCGCGGCCGUGUGCCUGUGAUCUCCUUCUGAGUUUGAAAAAGAAGAUCCUAGACACCGAGCCAAAUAUGUUUGCAUAAACCGGGAGACUUGUGGCUCUAUUUUGUAACAGCUUGGCGCAGGGCAGCUGGUUUGGAGAUGUCUCUGUUCUUCCCUUGGUGGGGGUGCCGGAAAAAAUGUGCUGCCUGGGCGAUCGAGGUUGGGGCAAAAGCGUUGCAAAGGAAAAGGUGGGAGGACUCUACUUUCACAUUUCCCAAAAGAGUUUUACCAUAAGACUAUUUCUGGAUUGUUCUAACGUGAGGAUAUUGGGAGCAUUUUGAAAAUACUGGAGGAAAAGCUGUCACUGGGCGAUUUAAAUCCGGACUCCCGGAUGUCAUGCAUCAGCCCUAUGAGAGUCUUGCCUCUUCUUCAACACACCUGUGUUUCACCGCUGUCCUUUGAUCAGGAGUCCUGUCUGGCAAAGUUCCUGUAAACAUCUGUCCAGGGCCUGAGCUCAGAAGGCAGAAUCCGUCGUGGAGCGUGUCCAACUCCUACCCCAAGAGCAGCCUCCAUGUUUACCCACGGACUGGGCUCACACACAGGCAGGCAGCUCCGAGCUCUGAGCACCUCAGCAUCCUUGGACUCUGAGCUAGCGUGGUCACAUGUCGGGGGGACAGAGUUCCCCAGCCCUUACCCUGCAGUCUUGCUUCUGAUAGGGAAACCUUGAGCUCGUAGUGACUGUGGGGCUGGCUCUCCAGGACAAGCCCCUCCAGUGGAGCCAGGAACCAGGAUGGAAGGUUGGGUUUGGGGGUGGACUGAUGGCCUGGAGUUCACUGCCACCUAUUUUCUUUUCCUCUUUUUCCAUCUCACCCAGAGCUGUGGGAAGAGGCCUUGACAACAGGUGAGAUUUGGGGCACCUGACUGUGACUUCAACCCAGCAGGUGGGGUUGGCCCAAAGCAGUUCCCCAGCUUGUCCUCUCAGGUCCUCUGGACACCCUUCCCCACCACACAUAACCCUGGACCUUCACAGCUCCCACACCACCAUCCACACCUAGGAAAGGACAUCGGACUGGAGGUCAGGGGCCUAGGAUUCAAGUCCCAGCUCUGCCGACAGCUACCAGUGUAUUCUUGGGCAAGUCACUGAACCUCUGUGGGUCCUGAUUCCCUUACCUGUAAGAGAGUGAUAAUCAUAAGGCCCUCUGCAUUGCUCUAAGGAUCAAGAUAAUGCUUGUGAAAGUCUUCACUGUACUCUAAAGUGUGAUUAAUAUAUAUUCUUUAUCCUGGAAUCUCCUAUCUCCUUUGAGUCCUGUUAAAUAAACCAUGAUGUGAAUGGUUAGUAAUGAAGUGUUUGCCCCCUUUCUAGACAGUUAUUUGUACUUGUAACCAUAACUUUCAAUGCCUUUAUUCAGCGAUAAGAGUACGGAAUUAAUUCCAAGUUCAGACCGGGUGUAGCAGCUCACAUCUGUAAUCCCAGCACUUUGUGAGGUCAAGAUGGGAAGAUCGCUCAAGUUUAGGAGUUUGAGACCAGCCUGAGCAACAUAGGAAGACACUGUCUCUACAAGCAAACAAACAAACAGACAAAAAAACAAUAAAUUACCUGGGCAUGGUGGCACAUGCCUGUAGUCCCAGUUGCUCAGGAGGCUGAGGCAUAAGGAUCACUUGAGCCCAGAAGGUUGAGGCUGCAGUGAGCUGUGAUCACACCAUUACACUCCGACCUGGGUGACAGAGCGAGCCCCUGUCUCAAAAAGAAAAAAGAAAAAGCAAAAAAGAAAAAAUUUCAAGUUUACAGGCAGGCUGGGGAGGAGGAGCAACUUCCUAUUCAGUGGUGCUGCUUCCUUCGCUGGGCAAUUUGCUGGCAUUGCCCUCUGUCAUCCUAAGGCGAUGGACCUUGUUGCUAUGUAAGGGAAGUCCUUACCCAGAAGGCUGAGAGGAACAGAAUUUCCAAGGACAAAACACUUGCCAAGAAGCCCAGCUUCACAAAUUUCCUCUAUUUGUCAACCCCUUGGUACAUAGUUGCUGCUUUGAUGAGGCUGAUUUCAGCUGAAAUACCACAGCAGUGGGAAAAGGAUAUAAUUCUUUCCUUGCAUUCCAGUGUGAGGCUGAUGUAGGCAAAGAAACCUGCCAAAGCAUUUAGAGACGCAUGAAGUCCCCUGUUGUGUUUAAGGUCUUUUUCUCCACUUGGACAGGUUGGCAGCCACUUUCCUUCUCUCUUGCUCAAUCCUUCCUCCUGCAUUCCAUCGGAGUUCUUGUUUCCCAUCCAAAGAGCUCAAUUCCUUUCUGAGCAAUUCCUGUUUUCUAGUCUUCCAUCUCUUCCUAUUGUACAGACACCAGUUCAUCAGAAAGAGUUUCCCAGUUAAUUUUGAUGUAGCCCAGCGUCACCUCUUACAGUGUCUGGCUCAGAAAUUAAUUCUUCCUUAAGUCUAACUCAAUCCCCCAUGUUCCUCCCCUGUUUCUAAACUCUCAGCAGGCUCCCCAUUAUCUCCUGAACUAAAUUCUGUCUCCUAAGCCCAGCCUUAGAGGUCUUCCUCCUUCUGGUCUCCAGGGCUAGAUGCACUGUCUCCCCUGGCUGAUGCAGCCUCAUGCCGGGGUGUGUGGCCUUGGAAAGGGGAAUUUGACUUGUACCUACUCACCCCCAGGGUCCUUUAUCAGGCACCUGUUGGUCCCAGCCAGCCUCUUCAACCUCAUUUCCUAUUUUUCCUUCUACCCUUGCCUGGUGGCUGGCCCAGUGCCCUACUCACCAUGUCUCUGAAUGGCAUCACACAAUCCUGUCUCUGCACCCUCCCUCCCUCCCUCCCUCCCUCCCUCCCUCCCUCCUUCCCUCCCUUCCUCCCUCCCUUCCUUCCUUCCUUCUUUCCUUCUUCCCUUCCCUUCCCUUCCCUUCCUUCCCUUCCUUCUUUCCUUCUUUCUUUUUCUUUCUUUCCCUUCCUUCCUUCCUUCCUUCCAUCCUCCCUCCCUCUUUCCUUUCCUUUCCCUUCUUUCUUUCUUUCUUUCCUUCCUUUCUUCCUUCCUCCUUCCUUCCUUCCUUCCCUUUCUUUUUGAGAGGGAGUCUCGCUCUGUCAUCCAGGCUGGAGUGCAGUGGCAUGAUCUCGGCUCACUCGAACCUCCGCCUCCCAGGCUCAAGGGAUUCUCCUGCCUCCACCUCCCGAGUAGCUGGGAUUACAGGCGCACACCACUACACCCAGGUAAUUUUU
rnacentral:lncRNA from 1 species